rnacentral:rRNA from 1 species
UACGUAGGGUGCGAGCGUUAAUCGGAAUUACUGGGCGUAAAGCGUACGUAGGCGGUUAUUCAAGUCAGAGGUGAAAGCCUGGAGCUCAACUCCAGAACUGCCUUUGAAACGAGAUAGCUAGAAUCUUGGAGAGGUGAGUGGAAUUCCGAGUGUAGAGGUGAAAUUCGUAGAUAUUCGGAAGAACACCAGUGGCGAAGGCGACUCACUGGACAAGUAUUGACGCUGAGGUACGAAAGCGUGGGGAGCAAACAGG